CAGUCUUAUAAUGUCAUUUCCUUGCAGUAUGAGGUUUUUGAGAAGACAGCAUUCUGUGAUUCUCCCCUGAGUGCCUUUCCAAAAAAGAGUCCCCAGAGCUACACAACAGUUUAGCAAGGGAAACAAACCUAGAAGGACAAAGAAGCAGAAAGGAAAGGAAGAAAAUAAGCAAUGAAGAGACAUACCUGUUGCAUGACACUCCUCUGGCAGAAAAGAUCUUAGACACAUAUAUGCACGUGAAAGAAAAUCAUGUCUUCCAGUAGCAAACAUAGUGUGACAGGAGACAUCUUCAUCCUGUCACCUGAUGUUUUCAGAACAUUUCCAUUGGAAAGCUUGCUCCAGAUUACAUGCUGGAAGAUGUUGAAUGACACUCAGUGGAGUUAAAAGGAGGGGUAACCUUUUACAGGGUCCAUAACCCAGAUUUGCUCUGAAAGAAGUUUGGAGAAGUCUGGAGGAGACUGACCCAGGCAGCCUGUCCCAACCCCAAACACUGACUGGAAUGAUGUCUCCUUGAGAGCUUUAUUCCACACUUGGAGCUUGUGUACACCCACUGUGUGUUUUUCUACAUGCUUCCUUUUCAGUUCAGACAGGGGGAAGCAGAUAUACUUCUACUUUCCUCUCUUCAGUAAUUAAUCCAGGAGAAAUGACUAUGUCAUGAAGCACUUGCAAAUUGAGCACACAGUGAUGGGCAGUCUCUAUUGCUUAUUUUGAGUUCAUUAUACCCUCUUUCUUUUCAGGUCAGUCAUAUUAUGUAUGAUUUUGCACCCAGUCUGCCUCUAUACAUUUUGAAUUGUGCUUUUCAGGAUCUGACAUUCAGUCUCAGAAUCUUCAUGUGCACAAAUCAUUCUUUCAUUCUAUCUGCAGAUAGCUGGACUGACGAUAGCAUAUCAUCUGUUUUGGGAAGUUUCUGGAGGUCACCAGUGUCAAGGACCAACAAUUUGCAUUAUCUCCUUUAUUGUGUGUAUUAAGUUUUUCAAAAUAAUAUUAUUUAACUACCACAUGGAAACUACAAGCAUUCUUGACAUUUAUGCUUGUUGCAAACAUUGUAUCCUCUUCCCCAAUUUUGAAAUUGUUAUAUAAAUAAGAAGACUAAAAAUAUUUCUUAUUUUAAAAAUCUGGGGAAGAUGGAAAUAGAUUCUUUUUUUUUUUUGCUUUUUCAUUCAAGGAACACAUUUAUAAGAAAAAGAUAACAUUUUAAGUAGAAGAUGAAUUCAUGUAGAAAAGUUAAUAAUAUUAAUUUUGGUUAAUUUUGUAUCUUUUUAAUAUACAAAAGUUUUAGAGUAUCAUACUCACAGCUCCCAGCAGUUAAAUAUCCUCAGUAAACAGUUGAGAUUAGACAGCUCUUGAAGUGGCACAUUCCAGCCUUGGACUGGAAGUAUGAUUUCUGUAUGUUCUGCUACUGCUUAUCAUAUCCUCAUCUGAUCUUCAUAAAAAGGCCGGCUGAAGUAUUGCUGAGCCUAUGGAAACAUGAACAAGUGUUUUCCAGUGUUAUCCCAGCAAUGUUUUAGUUGAUAGGAUAGUACUUCUACUCCCAUGGAUUCCAGUCUUGAUGGAAGUGACUGGUGUUCUCUGUCAUACUCUAAUGAGUAUUUGAAACGUUAAGUAUGAACAAUGCAUUUGAAUUAUGGGAAAAAUUUGUCCUUUACUCAAAAGACCAUUCUCCAUGUAACUGCUGCUCUAUUAGUUGGAUAUAGUGAGACUGCAAGCUCUCUAUGAGCUUUUGCAUAUGGGGCCAGAAAUAAACUUCCAUUCUAUAAGAAAGUAAGUUCCUUUUUGCAAAUCCGUAUGAAUUGCACUACACUAAUGGCAGAAGCCACAAUUCCCCUUUUAAUUAAAAUCAUGUUAUAGUAAAAAGACACUUUCUCACUUAUUCUGCAGUUUUAAAAUAAACUAGUGCAGUGGUUUGAGCCUGAUGUAGGUAAUGUUCAUGGAGAAAAGCUUCAUCCACUUAUUACUUGGGCAGUUUCUAUCUUCUUGGGAAAAGAGAUGUGAAAGAUUUGACCCCUGACUGCUUUCCAGCAGUUUGCUGUGCAUUGUAGUAAGUAAACACAGAAUUGUUGCCUCUUUUUUACAUUCUUUCACUAACUGUUCAGAGAAUGAAAUGUUCUCACACUAGAGUCAAAGCCAGGGCACACGCUGCCCUGUGCACCUAGUCUCGUGUAUUUUGAAUAAAGCAUGAAUGUUCAAAAUACACAAAAUUCACAAGCAUCUGUGAAAAAACAAUAUAAGUACUGUUGUUCACAGCCAGUCUAAAGGAGCUCUUCAGACCAUAAUGAGGAGUCCACUGCAUAGCCAUAAUGUUCAGAGGAUGGAAAAGAAAUUGUACUACUCGGGUUCAUGUUGCCUGAACUUAAACUCAGAGUUUAUACCAGGCAGGACAGGAAACUUGCUUUCACCUCAGAGAAACAUAUCCUUGAAAAUCAUAUGAACACUUUGGUGACACACGCCUGUGUAUUAGGAGCAGAGAACAAAUCUUAACCUUGCGAGUUUGUGUAUGUCUGUUAUUCCUGGCCCUGGAAGUAGUCUGAUUUUGGAUUUUUUUUUUAAUACAGUUUUGUGUUUGCAGAGGGAUGGUUUGUACAGAGUUCCCUGGUGCUAGUUACAUCAGCAUUUUAUAGGCUGCUCAUGUAAACUCUUGAGCGUUCAUGGCUCUCUCAGUAUUAGCUUUUUAAUACAACACAGUUCAUAUUGGCUUUUACUGCUGUUUAAUUUAGGUUGGCUGAGGUUUUUUUGUGGCUCUUCAACAGCAAGGAAUGCGGCCUAUGCUUGUUUGAAAUUUUUCUUGUCUGUGUAAACAUGCUAUUGAUGUUCUUUUUAAUUCUUGCAUAUUGUAACACUCUCUAAGACCUAAACUUGCCUAUAUUUCUCAUGCAGAUAAUUACAUAGCAAACCCAGAUCUCCUAUUACAGGUGGGAACCCAGAACUUUUAGGUAGUAACUGGAAAUCUUUCCUACCUUUGUACCGUAUUUUGGAUGUUCCACAGAUCCAGACAUCCAUAGCUGAAUUGUCUAAAUUAAUCAUUCUUAGCAAGUAGUGCACCUUAUUCAAAGGACACAUGCAAAUAAUUCCCAGCCAAAUGUUAGUUAUUGGCUUUUGAGUUCACUUGCUUUUUAAGUGAUCCCAAUAUCAGUUCUCUGUUCUGGGCAUCUGAAAUGGUUUAAAGCAACAUGUGGUUUUUCACCCUCCUGUAAACAAAAUGCAAUUUCUAACUAGGGUGAAAGAAAAUGUAAAAGUGUAUUUUGUUUUGGUUAUUCAUGUUUAUAACAGCAUCUUGACUCAACAGAUAGAGAAUUUUCUAUCUAGAAAGAUCUUUCUUAAUAGUUAUCUAGAUAAAUUUGUAUGGGUAACUCAGAUAGUUCAAGAAAAGCCUGUGUAUAAGAUGCUGGGAGGAGCAAAGCUGAUGUUUUCAUAAGUCUUAUGAGGAAAGGAUGUUCUUUCUUGUGCAUUAAUGUGCUUCAUCAGAAUUUCUGGGAAGCUGUCCAGCUAUACAUAGUAAAUAUUUCACAUACCAGUAAAGUGAUUCCUCAGCAAUUCAAGCAAUCAGCACAAAUGAGACUUAAUUUAUGGUGAAUAGCUGCACCUGUUAAACAGUGAAAUAGGCUCCUGACAUAAAUGACCCUUUCAUGCUGUUAUUUAGCUAGAUUUUUUAAAAGGUCCUAUCUUUACCAAAUAUAAUCUUAAAAAGAUCAUAAGUUUUAAAACAUAUCCAGGCCUAAAGUUUGAACUUUCAUAUUGAAGAGGCACUAUAUGUGGUUUUGAGCUAAAAUGAAUAUAUUGUAGGGCUCAGAUCAACACCAUCAAGGGAAGGCAUAAAAUGUGCCUAUUACUGAAUUAGGCAUUUGGUUUGUAUAUCUAAUGGUAAAAUCAAUACAUGGUUCCAUCAGAGGAGAGAUCCAUCAGCCUGUGUCUUGCUAGCAUCCAAUCAAGAGAUUGAAUUUGCAAGCUUUGAUGGGAAGAAAUGUUUCUCCAUCUUUUGACAAUCCAUAUUACCCUAAUUCGGACAGCUUUUACACAGAGCUGCACCAGUUUACUCAAGCAUUGCUUUCAAUAUCAUUUCAUUAAAUCAAUGCAAAAGGUUGUGUUGACCUUUUAAAUAUAUAUUUAAAUCUGAUCAGUGGAGCUUAAAUUGAUAAGGAACUGAUUUUAAGCCAGCUUUUAAGGCAAAUAAGUGUGUCCACACGGGGUUCCUCAGCUGUUCAACAAAUUGAUGUGAAAUCCAAUUUAAAUUAAGCUGCUGCAAACAAACCACUGUUGUGUUGUGCACGAGUCCCAGAUGUGCCCUCCAAGUUCUAUGAGAACUUUCUUUUUAACUUGAGCAGAGAACCUGAGGGAGAUGCAGUUAAUGGAGUGGAGUCUGCUCAUCUCUGUCAGAAAGGGAGAGGUGAUUAUAAACCAUGGCAAGAAGCUUACAAACAAAUAUCCAAGGUUCAGCUGAAAGCUGCGUUUAUAAACCUGUAGACUGCCAAAAGAUGGAUGUUUCUUACUUUUCUGUCUUAACAGCUAUAAUUACAGUGAACAAGAUGGCUGGCACUCACCAGACUCCAGCAGGAGGAGGCCUCUAUAUCCCACAGGCUAAAAAGAUCAGCAGUGAGUUUAUAGAAAACCCCCUCUAUUCUGUGUUUGCUAGGGACUGGGAUACUUAACAUUUCCAACCCUCAGCUUGCCUUCCCAGCAGGUCUGGUGCUUUUACAGAGUAGAUUAUUCCUCUCUCCUGAUGCCUCACCAAAGACUUUUACAGGACUGCAGAGGAGCCCGUUUAUCUUCACAACCCAUAAGUCUACAGGGGAAUUACAGAGACUUCUGGUCUUGCAUCAAAGAAAUGGCAGAUGGAAAAUGAGCCAUAAUCCAUAUUAAUUCAUAUAAUGCAAAUAAGAUGGAAUGAAAUGGUGUGGUGGGUUGACCCUGGCUGGAUGUCAGGUGCCCACCAAAGUUAUUCUAUCACUCUCCCUCCUCAACUGGACAGAGGAGAGAAAAUAGAACAAAAAGCUCAUGAUGCAAGGACAG